UCUCAUAUAAGUUUUGAAGCAAAUUUAACAAGAGAUAGAACCUCAUGAAAAAAAUUCUGAGUCUUUUAUCUUUCCUCAAAUUCCUGUGUUUUUCCUAUGGUCCAAUCAAACGGUUAUUCCUACGUUUUUCCUGUGUUUCGCAAUCCUCUAUUUUACACUUGCAUUCCUAUCAGAAUUUUAUUUUUUUUCAAUUCAUCCGUUUUUUUAAUUCCUGUGAUUCAAAUGGGCCCUAAAAUGACAAAUUAAUUUACAUGGGUCAUCAGCCAUCACACGAUCAAAAUACCCAAACCCUGAAUUGCAGCUGCUACAUCAUGGAUGAUCUACAGAUAUGAUACAUAAUCUUCACUACAUUGUUUUGUUUCAUCAGUACAUCAGUAGUAAAUUGUAGUAUUAUUUAGAUUAUUUAAUUUUCUUCGUCGGUGGUAAAAGUCACCUAGCUAGCAACCGAAGAGAAUUAGAGAUUACGCUCGUUGCGCUGGAGGAGGGCACAGAUGGCCCCGGUCGCGG
rnacentral:lncRNA from 1 species